GGGGGUGUAAUAGAUUCGACGGGUAUCUGUUGCCGCCCGGGAGCAAGUGCCGGUUGGCCAGGCCGGCUAAAAUAGGGCCAAAAAAAUAAGCAACAACAAUCAAGUUGCCUGGGCUAACGCUUAGUCCCACCGCUCCUUUAGUGUCUUCCAUGCGCUAGAGGGUUGCGGUCACAACAUGGAACGCGGUAAAGCGGGCGCGGUUCGUCCGGCUUUACUUAAGACUCACGAACCAAACCGCAAACGUGCCGUUUCGCGCUUAGUUUGCGGUUAUGAUAGCGAAACUAAACUUGUAGAGCCUGGGAGGAAAAGAUGUUCGGACGGGGGUGCGAAUCCCCCCACCUCCACUU
rnacentral:tmRNA from 1 species